UACGUAGGCAGCAAGCGUUGUUCGGAGUUACUGGGCGUAAAGAGUGCGUAGGUGGUGCCCUAAGUCUGUUGUGAAAUCUCCCGGCUUAACUGGGAGGGGCCGUGCGAAACUGCCUGGCUUGAGGUCGGAAGGGGAAAGUGGAAUUCCGGGUGUAGUGGUGGAAUACGUAGAUAUCCGGAGGAACACCAGCGGCGAAGGCGGCUUUCUGGUCCGAUUCUGACGCUGAGGCGCGAAAGCGUGGGGGAGCGAUCCGG
rnacentral:rRNA from 1 species